rnacentral:tRNA from 1 species
GGUAGCGUGUCAGAGCGGCCGAAUGAGCAGGUCUUGAAAACCUGUGUGGGGCAACCCACCCUGGGUUCGAAUCCCAGCGCUACCG